UGGCAGUUUUCCCUGCUCUCUCUCUCUCUCCUGCUGCCAUGGGAAGAUGUGCCUUGCUUCCUCUUCUCCUUCCUCCAUGAUUGUAAGUUUCCUGAGACCUCCCCAGCCAUGUGGAACUGCACUGAAAAUGACCAGCAGGACGGGGCGUGAUGGUCUGUAAUCUCAGCACUUUGGGAGGCUGAGGUGGGAAGAUCACGAAGUCAGGAGUUUGAGACCAGCAUGACCAACAUGGUGAAAUCCCGUCUCUACUAAAAAUACAGAAAUUAGCUGGGAAUCCCAGCUACUUGGGAGGCUGAGGCAGGAGGAUCACUUGAAUUCCGGAGGUGAAGGUUGCAGUGAUCUGAGAUCAAGCCAUUGCACCAAAAGAAAAAAAAAAAAAAAAAGAGAGAGAGAGAAAUGUCUCAAGAGGCACAGGGCAUCUUUCAAAUGUAAAUCAACCUUGGGGGUGUGGUGUGGCCAGAGAGGUGAGGUCAAGAGAAUACUGGAUAAUGUCCUGUUUAUGGCAUAAAUCAGGGCCCCCCUCAUUAGAGUUUCCGUAACCAUGAGGCAUGCCUCCCAAUUUCAUAAAUAAUGCUACGUAAUGGUUAUGCAUAACUGAUCAUUCAGAAUAAACUCCAGAUAUUAUUAAAAUAACUAAAUCCCCUCCACCAUCACCAGAAAGAGCCUCGAGGCAGGGAGAGUCCUGGACAUUUCUGGACUCUCCUGUGAAACCUGCAGGAGAGGCUGGGAUUCCCUGUGGGGGCCUGACUUAACUCAGAAAUGGCCCAGGGGGGACCUUGGGAAGCCCCCUGUGCUCCCAGCCUGUCUCUACCCCAUCUGCUGGACAGCCCGGCCUUCCUGAAGGGCUUGAGGGAGGAACACCUUCUCCCUGGGCCACCUAUGCCAGCUGCCUGCUGGAGGGAGGCUGACCUGGGAAAGCCCAGCACACACUUGGGGCCCUGCCCAGCAGCAAGUCCUCCUCAGAGCCCGUUGGGGACAAGAGCCAAGCCAGAGUGACAUCUCUGAGGCAACAGCAAUGUCCGUGCUUGGGCAUUACAGUCUCUGCAGCUCACAUCUUCCCAGAGGCUAAACUAAUAGGAAUAACAGCAGGAGCUGGCGGCUGAUGACUGAACAAGUGCUCAGAGCCCUGGGAGAGCCGCCGUCCAUCUGGGAUUUCAUUCCAUGCAGACAAUGGCCCUUUGAAGAAAGUGCUAAUGUAGUCCCCAUUUUCCAGGUGGUGAAACUAAGACUUACCCAGAGGCCGACACCAGCUUCCCAAAGACUACCAGUUUGGGGCAGAGGUGGGCUCUGAUGUAACUGCCCCAUGCACAGCACCCCUCUGCAGGUACUCAUGAAUAGCCACCCAGGCACACUUCUCAUUUAUCCCGUACCUUUCAUGGCACCGCUUAUAAUACUCUCCACAAGCUGUCUUUGCUGUUCUUAGAUACUGCAAGAAUAUCUAUUAUCAUUGAUAUUUAACAAAUUGGAAUGGUAUUAUAUAAGCAGCCAGGUUACAUCUGGCAGAGCCUUGUUUUGGAGAAAAAAAUUAAAUGUGAAAUAAUAAAACACGAAAACUUACAACUUACAUCUAGGGUAUGAAAAUACUGAGCAUGAGCAGGCCACAGUGUACACCCCACGGAUAAGAACCUGGAAGAACUCCUUGGCUAAGACACAUGUCGCUACUCUGAUUUGGGGAACAUUCUCCGGUGGGGUUCUCAUUCCUUCCCAAACACACAAGUUUUACAGAUGAGACCAUGGUUGAAGAAGGGGACUCUGAGCUCAGAGUGAAACAUGGUUAAUAUACAGAUUUCUCACCUUGUGGUAAUGGGGUGCUUGUUCCCAAGGUGGGGUAAAGAAAAAAUAAACCAGAAUAAUUAAUCAUUCCAUAAGAACACAAAUCCCUUUAUUCUCUGUUCUAAUAAGAGAGUGACACUCUCCCCUGCAGCAUUUUUGUAAAGCGUUGAUUGAAGUACCGCAUCCAGGAAUCCCGACUGACAUGAUCCAUAAGCUGUUGCGCACAGGCGCUACUCACUCCAUUCAUUCAUUCAUUCAUUCAUCCAUUCAUUCAUUCAUUCAUCCAUUCAUUCAUUCAUUCAUCCAUCCAUCCAUUCAUUCAUUCAUUCCUUCAUCUGGCAAAGAUUGAUUAAGCUCCUACCAAGUGCCAAGCCCAUUUCUAGGAGCCGAGCGCACAUCAGGGAAGAAAAAAGGCAAGAAAACUUGUCCUCAUGGAGUUUACAGUUAAACAACAUUUAAAAAUAAAACAGUAACAAAUUUGGGGAGUUAGGAAUUUAAAACAACAACAACAACAACAACAAACAAGGAUUACCAAAAAAAAAACAAAAACUAGGCUGGGCACUGUACACUACUGGGAUUUUAGCUCACACUUGUAAUCCCAGCACUUUGGGAGGCCAAGGUGCGAGGAUCACUUGAGGCCAGGAGUUUGAGACCGGCCUGGACAGUAUAAUGGGACCCUGUUUCUAAAAAAGAAGUUCAAGAAGAAUUAGCUGGGUGUGGUGGUGCAUGCCUGCAGUCCCAGCUACUAGGGAUGCUGCGGCGGGAGGAUGGCUGGAGCCCAGGAGUUUGAGUUGCAGUGAGCUAUGAUCACAACACUGCACUCCACCAUGGGUGACAGAGCAAGACUCUAAGAAAAUUUUAAAAAUAAAAAAAUCAAACAUAGGGUAUGUCUGAUAGUGGUAAGAUAAAAAUAAGGCAGGGGAGGGGGCUAAGGGAUGCUGGGAGUUGGGGGAAACCCCUGGUGUUUUGGUAGCAAUUUGAAGGAGACCUGCAGAGGAGAAGAGGAGAGGAUGUGUCUGCCUGGGAUGUGCAGGCAGAGGGAAGAGCAAGUGCAUCUGAGAGAGAGAGCAGGGCGGAUGGGCUCCAGAAACACCAGGAGGCCAGUGUAGCUACACAGGUGGGCAGAGGGCAGUGGCAGGAGAUGGGGUCAGUGGGAGAUGGGGACAAAUCAUAGGGCCCUGGGCAUACUUCAAGGGCCUUGGUCUUACCCCAUGUGAAGGGAGCCACUGGGGCAGCGAUCAGAUCCAACUUGGUUUAACAGGACUCCUCAGACUGCCAAAUUCAGAAUCUAAGGGGGCGCGGCAGGGAGCUUGGUAAAGGCAGUUCCGUAACUGUAACACUCUCUACCCACCUUUCUGUAUAAAAGAAAACACUGUAAAAUAAAUUCUGUAACAUUUAUUCUUUG
rnacentral:lncRNA from 10 species